CUUUGCACACGCGGGAGCUCGGAGCACCGGGCUGAGAGGGCGCUGACCUCCGUCUUCGCGGGGUUUCACGCAAACGUGCGAUGUUCACCGUGAAACGCCGGCGGACGGAAACCGCUGCGUCGACCGCCGAACCUGUUACCGGGUAAUGCCGGCGUAGGGAGAUUGGGUCUCAUGACC
rnacentral:ncRNA from 1 species